rnacentral:rRNA from 1 species
GCGAACGCUGGCGGCAGGCCUAACCCCUGCAAGUCGCACGAACCUUUCGGGGUUAGUGGCGGACGGGUGAGUAACACGUGGGAACGUGCCUUUAGGUUCGGAAUAACUCAGGGAAACUUGUGCUAAUACCGAAUGUGCCCUUCGGGGGAAAGAUUUAUCGCCUUUAGAGCGGCCCGCGUCUGAUUAGCUAGUUGGUUGAGGUAAUGGCUCACCAAGGCGACGAUCAGUAGCUGGUCUGAGAGGAUGAUCAGCCACAUUGGGACUGAGACACGGCCCAAACUCCUACGGGAGGCAGCAGUGGGGAAUCUUGCGCAAUGGGCGAAAGCCUGACGCAGCCAUGCCGCGUGAAUGAUGAAGGUCUUAGGAUUGUAAAAUUCUUUCACCGGGGACGAUAAUGACGGUACCCGGAGAAGAAGCCCCGGCUAACUUCGUG